AGUUCCUGAGAAGCCCUGACCUCUUGGGCAAAUUUUGCCCGCGUGGGUCUGAUGGGGAAAGAUGGAAUUUCUUGGAACCAUUCAGACAGCGAGUUACUGUGGCUCCAAGAAAGACUGUGGCUUGCAGUGGCCGCCCCCUGCUGGGCAGGACCCUGAGGUACAGGAGUGCUACCAAUCCUUUCACCUGCCCCGCUGCCGCUCUGCUUGGAGACCCAGAGUCUUCUACAAGGUCGCCACCACCCAGAAAAGCCAGGAGGAUAGCGCAGGCGACCAGGGGCUGUCCACAAUUCUGCCCUCGCUCCACUCCCCGCACUUCAAUCGUUAUACCCAACGCGAAUGGGACCGCUCUAAUGAUCUGCUGAUCAGUAUUGCAGAGGCAUCGCGGCUCCGCGCCAGCCGGCUGACAGACGACUCCCUGCGGAUCAUGCAGGAUAAGGAGCAGCUGACACGCCAGAUGCAAGAGGGAACCUUCCGGAACCUGGGCCAGAGGCUCUCCGACAUCCGCUUCUGGAAGUCCGGGUUGUGUCAUGAGCGGGACAUGCUGAUGGCGGAGAUCAACAACUUGAAAACCCUCAAGAUGCGCUUGGAGUGCGCCGCUAAGGAGGUGAACUGUCCCCUGCAGGUGACCCUGGACUAUCUGUACAGUAAGGAGAAAAGGAUCGGGAUUAACCUGGUCCAUGACAACGGGGAGAAAAACCUUCUCCGGGUAGCAGAUUUACUUAAAUGUUGCCAAGAUCAGAUGAGAAAAUUAGCUAAACGAAUUGAUUCCCAGAUGCAAGAUAAUCGAGAUGUUCAACAUGCCCUAGAGCAAGACAUCGCAGACAAGAGCUCUGCACAGUCUAUUGAGGAGAGAUGUUUAAACCUAAAAAACACAUCUGAAUCCAUUAACUUCUUCCGUGGCAUGGAGAACUUUGACGAAACGGUCUCCGUUCCUGAAACCUGGGCCAAGUUCAGCAGUAACAACAUCAGACACGCUCAGACUACGCGGGCCAAGUCUGUCCAGCUGCGGGAGGAGGUAGAGCACCUGUUUGAGACCUUGACAGCCCAGGUGUGGAGGCAUUUCACCAACAUCAACCUGGCCUACCAGUCUGCCCAACCUGGAGUUCUACAGGGGUGUGGCAAACACCAAAUAAGACCCAGCAGCUGCAGAGCAGUCUUCUAGAAAGGCAGACACCACUAGUGAACCAGCAGUUCAAUCCUGAAGAAACCUCUAGCCCUUUUCUUUUCUUCUUUUUUUUUUUUUUAUACUCAGUCACCUUUAUUAGUUAUACCUCAGGUUAUUUUUUUAAAUAAUAUUUCACACCAUUAAAGCAAUCACACCACAUUAAUUAAAUUGAUGCAUCCCAAAUUCAUGCGUCUUGAUCUUUACAGGUGAUAAAGAUUACAUCUCAAUAAAAAAAAAAUCCUUCGA